GACGAACCGUGCAAACGUUAUUCGGAAUCACUGGGCUUAAAGGGCGCGUAGGCGGCUUGCCAAGUCAGGGGUGAAAUCUUUCGGCUUAACCGGAAAAGUGCCUUUGAUACUGGCAGGCUCGAGGGAGGUAGGGGCAUGUGGAACUUCCGGUGGAGCGGUGAAAUGCGUUGAUAUCGGAAGGAACGCCGGUGGCGAAAGCGGCUCACUGGGGAUUUUCUGACGCUGAGGAACGAAAGCCAGGGGAGCGAACGGG
rnacentral:rRNA from 1 species